rnacentral:rRNA from 1 species
UACGGAGGGUGCAAGCGUUAUCCGGAAUCAUUGGGUUUAAAGGGUCCGCAGGCGGAUUUAUAAGCCAGUGGUGAAAUCCCGUCGCUCAACGACGGAACUGCCAUUGAUACUGUAAGUCUUGAAUUCGGUCGAAGUGGGCGGAAUAUGACAUGUAGCGGUGAAAUGCUUAGAUAUGUCAUAGAACACCGAUAGCGAAGGCAGCUCACUAGACCUGGAUUGACGCUCAGGGACGAAAGCGUGGGGAGCAAACAGG